UACGUAGGGGGCAAGCGUUGUCCGGAAUUAUUGGGCGUAAAGCGCGCGCAGGCGGUUCCUUAAGUCUGAUGUGAAAGCCCACGGCUCAACCGUGGAGGGUCAUUGGAAACUGGAGGACUUGAGUGCAGAAGAGGAAAGUGGAAUUCCACGUGUAGCGGUGAAAUGCGUAGAGAUGUGGAGGAACACCAGUGGCGAAGGCGACUUUCUGGUCUGUAACUGACGCUGAGGCGCGAAAGCGUGGGGAGCAAACAGG
rnacentral:rRNA from 1 species